rnacentral:rRNA from 1 species
AAUACGUAGGUGGCAAGCGUUAUCCGGAAUUAUUGGGCGUAAAGCGCGCGUAGGCGGUUUUUUAAGUCUGAUGUGAAAGCCCACGGCUCAACCGUGGAGGGUCAUUGGAAACUGAAAAACUUGAGUGCAGAAGAGGAAAGUGGAAUUCCAUGUGUAGCGGUGAAAUGCGCAGAGAUAUGGAGGAACACCARUGGCGAAGGCGACUUUCUGGUCUGUAACUGACGCUGAUGUGCGAAAGCGUGGGGAUCAAACAGGAUUAGAUACCCUGGUAGUCCACGCCGUAAACGAUGAGUGCUAAGUGUUAGGGGGUUUCCGCCCCUUAGUGCUGCAGCUAACGCAUUAAGCACUCCGCCUGGGGAGUACGGCCGCAAGGCUUAAACUCAAAGGAAUUGACGGGGACCCGCACAAGCGGUGGAGCAUGUGGUUUAAUUCGAAGCAACGCGAAGAACCUUACCAAAUCUUGACAUCCUUUGACCGCUCUAGAGAUAGAGUCUUCCCCUUCGGGGGACAAAGUGACAGGUGGUGCAUGGUUGUCGUCAGCUCGUGUCGUGAGAUGUUGGGUUAAGUCCCGCAACGAGCGCAACCCUUAAGCUUAGUUGCCAUCAUUCAGUUGGGCACUCUAAGUUGACUGCCGGUGACAAACCGGAGGAAGGUGGGGAUGACGUCAAAUCAUCAUGCCCCUUAUGAUUUGGGCUACACACGUGCUACAAUGGACAAUACAAAGGGCAGCGAAACCCCGAGGUCAAGCAAAUCCCAUAAAGUUGUUCUCAGUUCGGAUUGUAGUCUGCAACUCGACUACGUGAAGCUGGAAUCGCUAGUAAUCGUAGAUCAGCAUGCUACGGUGAAUACGUUCCCGGGUCUUGCACUCACCGCCCGUC